rnacentral:rRNA from 1 species
GGUCCCGCCUGCCCAGUGACACAUUUUAAACGGCCGCGGUAUUCUAACCGUGCAAAGGUAGCGUAAUCACUUGUCUUCUAAAUAAAGACCUGUAUGAACGGCUAAAUGAGGACAGAUCUGUCUCUUACAACUAAUCAGUGAAACUGAUCUUUCAGUACAAAAGCUGAAAUACCAACAUAAGACGAGAAGACCCUGUGGAGCUUUAAACCUACCAUUAACAAAACUUAAAACUAUUUUUAAACUAAUGGAAAGUUUUGAGUUGGGGCGACUUCGGAAUAAAACACAACUUCCGAGCACAGAACCACUAAUUCUUACUAAGGCCAACAAGCCAAAGUGUAAAACAACAGACCCAGUCAUACUGAUCAACGAACCAAGUUACCCCAGGGAUAACAGCGCUAUCUUCUUCAAGAGUCCAUAUCGACAAGAAGGUUUACGACCUCGAUGUUGGAUCAGGACACCCAAAUGGUGCAGCCGCUAUUAAAGGUUCGUUUGUUCAACGAUU